GUAGGGAAUAUUGGGCAAUGGAGGCAACUCUGACCCAGCCAUGCCGCGUGCAGGAUGACGGCCCUCUGGGUUGUAAACUGCUUUUAUACGGGAAGAAAAAAUACUACGUGUAGUAUACUGACGGUACCGUAAGAAUAAGGAUCGGCUAACUCCGUGCCAGCAGCCGCGGUAAUACGGAGGAUCCAAGCGUUGUCCGGAUUUAUUGGGUUUAAAGGGUGCGUAGGCGGAUCUUUAAGUUAGUGGUGAAAGCCUGCAGCUUAACUGUAGAAUUGCCAUUGAAACUGAAGAGCUUGAAUGUGGUUAAAGUAGGCGGAAUGUAUCAUGUAGCGGUGAAAUGCUUAGAUAUGAUACAGAACACCGAUAGCGAAGGCAGCUUGCUGAACCAUUAUUGACGCUGAGGCACGAAAGCGUGGGGAGCGAACAGGAUUAGAAACCCGGGUAGUCC
rnacentral:rRNA from 1 species